AAUAGAUGACGCCGUUGACUUUUUCUCACAUGUUUGACCAUUCGUCUUAUUCAAAAAAUUUACGUAAUUAUACUUUAUUUUGUAUGAGUUGUUUUAUUACUCAUAGUAUUGUAAGUGUGAUUUAUAUCUUAUAUAUUUAUAAAAAAAAUUGAAUAAGACGAAUGGUCAAAUAUGUGAGAAAAAGUCAACGGCGUCAUCUAUA
rnacentral:pre_miRNA from 1 species